GAUUCUCUCUUCCAUCUCUUGAAUUCUGUUGGUGAAGCUUGUAUCUACAGCUCCUUGUCUCUUCUUUUGGUUUUCUAUAUCCAGGGUUGUUUCCAUGUGUUCUUUCUUGAUUGCUUCUAUUUCCAUUUUUAAUUCCUUCAACUUUUUGAUUGUGUUUUCCUGGAAUUCUUUCAGGGAUUUUUGUGUCUCCUCUCUAUGGGCUUCUACUUGUUUAUUUAUGUUUUCCUGGAAUUCUUUCAGGGAUUUUUGUGUCUCCUCUCUAUGGGCUUCUACUUGUUUAUUUAUGUUUUCCUGGAAUUCUUUCAGGGAUUUUUGCGAUUCUUUCAGGCAUUUUUUCCGAUUCCUCUCUGUAGGCUUCUACUUGUUCUCUAAGGGAAUUCUUCACGUCUUUCUUGAAGUCCUCCAGCAUCAUGAUCAAAUAUGAUUUUGAAACUAGAUCUUGCUUUUCUGGUGUGUUUGGAUAUUCCAUGUUUGUUUUGGUGGGAGAAUUGGGCUCCGAUGAUGCCAAGUAGUCUUGGUUUCUGUUGCUUGGGUUCCUGCGCUUGCCUCUCGCCAUCAGAUUAUCUCUAGUGUUACUUUGUUCUGCUAUUUCUGACAGUGGCUAGACUGUCCUAUAAGCCUGUGUGUCAGGAGUGCUGUAGACCUGUUUUCCUCUCUUUCAGUCAGUUAUGGGGACAGAGUGUUCUGCUUUCCAGCGUGUAGUUUUUCCUCUCUACAGGUCUUCAGCUGUUCCUGUGGGCCUGUGUCUUGAGUUCUCUAGGCAGCUUUCUUGCAGCAGAAAAGUUGGUCUUACCUGUGGUCCCAAGGCUCAAGUUCGCUUGUGGGAUGCUACCCACAGGCUCUCUGCAGCGGCAGCAACCAGGAAGACCUGUGCCGCCGUUUCCGGGAGCUUCAGUGCACCAGGGUUCCAGAUGGUCUUUGGCUUUUUCCUCUGGCGUCCGAGAUGUGUGUGCAGAGAGCAGUCUCUUCUGGUUUCCCAGGCUUGUCUGCCUCUCUGAAGGGUCAGCUCUCCCUCCCACGGGAUUUGGGUGCAGAGAACUGUUUAUCUGGUCUGUUUCCUUCUGGUUCUGGUGGUGUCUCAGGCACAGGGGUCCUGCCGCUCCUGGGCCCUCCCCCACGGGAGCCCAGAGGCCUUAUACAGUUUCCUCUUGGGCCAGGGAUGUGGGCAGGGGUGAGCAGUGUUGGUGGUCUCUUCCGCUCUGCAGCCUCAGGAGUGCCCACCUGACCAGUGCUUUUGAUGGUCUUAAUCUAAAACUGGUGGACUGGAUUAUUUUUAGUUUACUUUCAAGAUUUUGCUAGAAGGAAAGCAGAGAGCUUUAUGAAAAGAGCGUCUUUUUUUUUUCUUAUAAUAGAGUUAGCCUACCAUGUCUAUAGAGUCCGACUCUGUCUGUGGGUUUAAUAAACAAUAGAUGAAAAAAAUAUUUAGGAGACACGCCCCUUUGUCUUGUUCUUCAUAAAUAGUAUAGUACAGCCAGUCUAGGACUAAUAUUACUAGGCAUUGUGGGUAGUUUGGAAAUGACCCUCCAUGGGAAAGCAAGUGCACACAAUCUGCGGGAACAUGAGAGUUUUAUCAAAGGAUCCAAGCAUCUCCAGACUUUGGCAGUCAUGGUACCAAGACCUGACAGCUUUUCUUCAAAUAACCUGUUGACCAGUCACUUUCCCCACAGAACUGUAAAGGAACAUGAGCUAUGAAGUACAUAUGUGAUGUUGAGUAUUUUCCUUUCACUAGUAGGAUCGUGAUUGUAAAAUGUUCUAGACUAUACUAACAUACCAUGUAAAUCCACAGUUUACCCAUCCAUCCCUUCUCCUGUUCCUUCUUCCUUUGUGCUUCCCCACCCUCCUCCUCCUUUCCCUCCUCCAUUUCCGUCUUGUUCUUAUACUGAGAAUAGAACCUAGAGUUUUGUGCUUAUCAGGCAAGCACAUUACAAAUAAGCCACACCCUUAUCCUCAUUUGGAUUUCAAGAUAAAAAACAAGACUAUUCUGAGAAAGAGCAUGUGUUUCAUACACCAUUGUGUAUUUAUAUAAGUUUAACUUAAUAGUGAGUUGUCAUUUCAGUUGGGAAUGAAGGACUCACUCAUGGCUUGGAAAAAACAUUUGAAUUGUGGCUGCUCUAAGUUCUGUGUAUAUGAUAACUUACAAAUACCACAUUUAAAAAAAUGUUUAAGCGAAUUCUACUGCAAGUUUGUUUAAUUAAGUAUAAUAUACUAUGUAUAUCCAUGUUUUGCUGCCAUGCUUGAAUUGGACAAAGAUUGUCACAUAUCAAAAGAUUUGAAAGAUAAUAGCAGUUGCUAAUCAAAAUAGAAAAAGUGUAUAAAAAACAACCCAAAGAAGAUGCAUUCCAUAUUUCGGAAGUUCUAGUCAGACUGGGCCUGGCAAACAUGGCUCUGGCAGAUCUUACUCUUCUCUCCCAUUCCCUUGCCGAAAACCGUUAGAUUACAUUCCUAAAGCCAACCACCAAGGUCUAUUUCCUUACUUCACCACUUCCACAUUCUGAGGCUGACUACUAAAGUCCAGCUAUGAAAGUAUUGAAGUCCAACAGUCAUAAGCCCCCUUUGGGCCACCAAAUUAACAUGCCCAAUGAACAGGCCACUGCAGCCUAGCUCAUUCUUACACAGACCUCUCCACUUUUUUCCUUCUUCUUAAAAAAUAUACCUGCUAGGUCAUUUGCUGCUGCUUUUCUGUCUGAAUCAGAACUUGGCUUAGUAAAGGCUCUCUCUGGGAAAACAGGAGUUUGGGUACAGUUUGUGCCUAAUCCAGGAUCUGGGAUGGAACACCCACUGUGUGGAAGUCUCCUUCAAAUAUUUGUAUAAGUUUCCUAUUGAUUCAAAGAAAAACUCAAAUAUAAUAAAUUCUUGCAGGUCUAUAUACCAGAUGCUAUAUGUGGACCUCUGUGGGGCUGGCCAGAGCUGCCAGAGUUGCAGUCUCUGAAGGGGAGGGGGAGUCAGUUUGAGGUGAACUGCUAGAUCUCUUCCUCAGCCUUCCCUGCUCUGGAGUCCUGUGGUGCUUUGGGAUGAUAAACUGAAGGUGAUGGAGCACAGUAGGUGGCUAGGAGUCAAGGUCAGAGCCACCAAGCUGGAAGUGACUGGUCUGCUCCACUAGCUUCCAACAUGGAUAGCUUCUGGAGAGAUUUCUCUUCUUCAAAGUGUUACAGCUCUAUAAGACAGAUGCUCUCAAAGGCACUUCAGGACCCUUCGUGACUCGAUUAUCACAGUCCUUUCCAUCGUAGUUGCUGUUCCAGGACAGGAACCUUGUCUGAAGUAGAUGAAACUCUUACCUUCCUCCAAUAUUGUUGUGGUUUGCCCUGAAGUUACUGUAUUUUGAUGCUAAUUCCACUGCCCCAAGACAGCUGCCUAGUUAAGGACUCAGAACUCAGGUGACUUCGCCAGAACCACCUCUCCAUUGAAUUUGUAAAGUACUGGUGAGGAGCAGGUACAGGAUAGAAGGAGGCCUGUCAUUGGAGGAGAAGGAAGGAUUGGUAGGAGAGAAGUUUGAAGGAAGAGGAGGAGAUGAGAAAGGAGACGAGGGAGAGAGGAGACGGAGAGAGGGGAGAAGCCGUGGCAGGACAAGAUGGCAGGUGAUGUUAAGAUUCUGCUCUGUGUAUUUACAGGUUGUUAUUAAUGUUCUCAAGGGAUGGAUAGUACCGGGCUUUGUAUGUUUAAGUGGACAAUUAUAUCUUACCAAUUGGAUCUAAGAUUAUUGUGUUGUGUGUUCCUUUAUGUGAGGGUUUGAGUGUAGGAAAGUGUGCGGCUGGGCUGUGUUUCCAACAAGAUAUCUAGCAGAUAUCUUGGGGCACCGUGGUACAGACCUAGCGGGGUAAAAGACCAACAAUACAUUUUUAUUUUUAUAUUUUUACAACAACACAAUAUGAGAAUACUGGGGUUUCUGAAUCCAUUCAACCUUACCAAAUUUCUGUCUGGUGACAUGAUUCCACUUGCCCCACAAAUUCUCAUGGGAGAACUAAGAUGUGUCAGCUCAUACCAGACUUGUUUUCUACCUACUGAAGGAAUCAUAUUAGUGCAUGUUUCUGAGAAACGUCCUGACUUCUAAGCUUUUGAAAUUAUUUAGCUAUCUAUUAAAGAUUUAUAUAUUGUUAUAUGUUUGUGUUUGUAAUUUGUCCAUGUGAACUUAGGUGUGUACCACAUGUGUAUAGGAUCCCCUGGAGCUGAUAUUAAGGUGGUUAUGAUCAAUCAUAUGGGUGCUGGGAACUGAACUCAGGUCUUUGUAAUAGCAAUAAGUCCUGUUAACCAUUAAGCUAUCUCUGCCACUCCAAAUGCUGAGUUUUAAAGGUUGUAGGCUGUUGCAUAAACUUCUCAGGGUGACGAAUAAAACAAAUAUCCCUACAUCCCAGACCCGGUGCCAACCACAAAUCAGAGAAACAGUUUCACUCAAGUCUAGUUUGGUUCCUACAGGAACUUGGAUGAAGGUUAUUUACAUGGGCAACUUAUGAGCAGCCACAUCACUGAAGAAAGUCUCCUGAACAAUCGUGAACUGCCUAUAAAUCCUUAGAAAUGAGCAUGGCCUCCUGAGCCUCUCUCCACCUCCAUGACUAGAAGGUUUCAUCCAAUAUGUACUAAUGCAUGCAUUAUUGAAGAGCCUUUGAAAGGUGGAAUUUUUCCUGGUGUAAAUCUUUUUAUAUUAAAUCUGUUUAAAUAUUAACAAAAUAACUCGAACAGACUUGUUUUAUAAUUCAUCAAUUCUUUUAUUGCCUCUAAUAAAUUGGCUUGUAAACCCAUCAAAAAUUCUUUCAAAAAAGUGUUUAGGAAAUACAGAAUGCUUCAAAAAUUUCCAUGUUAUCUUGCACAGGGACCAUGGCACUCUUCUUAUAUACUGCCAAAUUUAGUUAUGCACACUGAUGUAAACUCUGUUGCCAAGACAUCUUCAAUACUGAUUUCACAUGUGUGAGUAUUUGUAGUAGUUUUAUUUUAUUCUUUUACGUUUCUUACAGAAGUUUCCCAUGUAUUUGUAGAUGUUUCAUCUUCUAUGUUACUGCCUAAAAUAUAUUAAUCAGAGUCAUGUUCCCUUGUGGAUUAUUCCAGUAUUUAAUUCAUCUCUGAGUCCUGUCAUAUUAAUUAUUUUAGCUAUUGGCAGUAUACAGCCUUCCCUUGCUUUAUUUUGCAUCUCCCACUUUUUGAUUGAAUAUCGAGCAUAGUGUUUGUCUUACUUAGGGUUUUACUACUGUGAACAGACACCUUGGGCAAGGCAACUCUUGUAAGGACAAUAUUUAAUUGAGGCUGGCUUACAGUUUGUCCUAGUUAGGGUGUUACUGCUGUGAACAGACACCUUGACAAAAGCAAUUCUUUCUUUUCAUUUAUUUAUUUCAUGUAUUUGGGUAUACUGUAGCUGUCUUCAGACACAUAAGAAGAGGGCAUCAAAUCCCAUUAAUAUGGUUAUCAGCCACCAUGUGGUUGCUGGGAAUUGAACUGAGGACCUCUGGAAGAACAGUCAGUGUUCUUAACCUAUGAGCCAUCUCUCUAAUUAGAUUGGCUUACAAGUUCAGAGGUUCAAUUUAUUAUCAUCAAGCAGGAUCAUGGCAGCAUCUAGACAGGCAUGGUGCAGGAGGAGCUAAGAGUUCUACAUCUUAAUCUGGAGGCCUCUAGAAGACUGGCUCAAUGUGGUUAAGUGGAGGUCUAAUUGUCCUCCCCCACAGUGACACACUUCCUCCAACAAGGCCAUAUCUACUUCAACAAGGCCAUACCUCCUAAUAGUUCCACUCCCUGGACCAAGCAUAUUCAAACCACCACCAACUUCUGUCUUAGUUAAGGUUUUACUUCUGUGAACAGACAACACUAGCUAGGCAACUCUUAUAAGAGCAACAUUUAAUUGAAAUUGGCUUACAGGUUUAGAGGUUCAGUUCAUUAUCAUCAAGGCAGGAAGGAACAUAGCAUCUAGGCAGGCACGGUGCAGGAAGAGCUGAGAGUUCUACAUUUUCUUCUGAAGGCCCCUAGGAAAAUACUGGCUUCAUGUGGUUAGGAAGAGGGUCUCAUUGCCCACCCUCAUAGUGACAUACUUCCUCCAGCAAGGCCACAUCUAAUAGUGUCACUCCCUGAGCCAUGCAUAUUCAAAUCACCACGAUGUCAUACAGAGGUAAACUAUAUUCACAUUCAAACAUGGUCAUGCCUUUUUAUAUGCCAGACUGUUGUUGUAGAGGAUGGACUUUUUCCAGUGAGAACUUAAGCUGUCUUUGUGACUUUGUGCUUUUAUUCAUGCUUCGAGUACACCACAAGUAUCUAAAUACAGAUAGUAAAACAGCAGAGUGCUGUGUUGGUGUUUCUCCUCUGCCCUCAUUAGGUCAUAAAUAAUCCUGCAUAUCUGAACCCAGGGAUGACCCUUCUGGGAAGUGCACUCCUCUUGCUUGAUACCAAAUCUAGAACCACAGUAGACAGAGUGGUUUUUUUUGUGCCCUAGUUCAUGCUCACUCAGAGUUAGCCUCUUUCUUACUGGAUGAAAUUCUCAUGUUUGGGGAUUUUCAAUGUUUAUAUAUGUCCCCUUCAUGGCAAAAAGAUUCCAUGAGUUAGUUGUCAACUUUUGGAGAAAGUUCGUUGUGGUGGUAGGCUUCUGCUUAGCAUUGGCAUAGGAUCCUAAGACAGAUAAUGGACUGCUCUUCCUCCAGAGAUAGAGGAUGUUCCCUACAUCUUUCUACAUGAAUCAUCCUCUAAGGACACCAAUGUGUCCUAUGCUUGGGGAGGUUUUAUUGUUUUCCCAGAUGGAAACAGAUUGUUUUCUAUUCAUUCAUACUAUCUGCCAUUCUUUUCCUGUUUCUGGGAUUAAAGUUUUGCUGUUUUCCUCGAGCAACCCAAGAGUUUGCUUCCAAUGAAGGUUUUACAUAAUUCAAAAAUGAAUUAUGGGAAGACCCUGUGUUGACUUUAUAUUGCUUAUAUCUUUAGAGUACCACUAAUGAGUUAUUAGGUCAAAGUAAUAUUUAAUUAUUGCUUAUUAAUCCAACCAAAAAACUGUCAGAUUAAACCCAUUUUUAGAAAUCCAUAACCCAUCUGCUUUAAAUAGUCUAAAACACUGUAACCAACAUCCACUGGGCAUAAAUAGGAUAAACUUUAGGGUUAUAAAACCCCCAUUGAAGCUUUUUAGAAAUCUUUUCCCAGGGACUAUUUUAUGUUGCUUCAUGGAUCUGUCAGACCUCCUGGUAAUUUGCCUGACUUGUUUAUCUUUUCCAUUCAGGUAAUGGUUUGUGCCAAUUUCUUUUGGGAAAUCUGAUGUUAUAACGGGCAUUUCCUGUUUCCUGUCCCAUUCUCUCUCUCUCUCUCUCUCUCUCUCUCUCUCUCUCUCUCUCUCUCUCUCUCUCUCUCUCACACACACA
ensembl:lncRNA